rnacentral:rRNA from 1 species
AGUGAACGCUGGCGGUGGGCCUAACACAUGCAAGUCGAACCGCAGCACAGUAAGAGCUUGCUCUUACGGGUGGCGAGUGGCGGACGGGUGAGGAAUACAUCGGAAUCUACUUUUUCGUGGGGGAUAACGUAGGGAAACUUACGCUAAUACCGCAUACGACCUACGGGUGAAAGCAGGGGAUCUUCGGACCUUGCGCGAUUGAAUGAGCCGAUGUCGGAUUAGCUAGUUGGCGGGGUAAAGGCCCACCAAGGCGACGAUCCGUAGCUGGUCUGAGAGGAUGAUCAGCCACACUGGAACUGAGACACGGUCCAGACUCCUACGGGAGGCAGCAGUGGGGAAUAUUGGACAAUGGGCGCAAGCCUGAUCCAGCCAUACCGCGUGGGUGAAGAAGGCCUUCGGGUUGUAAAGCCCUUUUGUUGGGAAAGAAAAGCAGCAGGUUAAUACCCCGCUGUUCUGACGGUACCCAAAGAAUAAGCACCGGCUAACUUCGUG